CACACACACACAGCAGUGUGUGUAUGUGUGUAUAUAUGUGUAUGUGUGUAUAUAUAUAUAUAUAUAUGUAUAUAUAUAUAUACAUAUAUAUAUAUAUACAUACAUAUAUAUAUACGCGGCGUGUGCUUG